GGAUCUGUCAAAUAACGAUAUCCAACGUCUGCCGUCAGAUGUUUUUAACAAUGUUACUCAGCUAAAAAAGCUCUUUUUGUCCAAUAACAAGCUUCGGCAAUUGCCAAGUUUCAACAAUCUUUCUCAACUGACAACAUUAUACAUGAGUAACAACAGCCUCUCAACUCUGGCACAUGAUCAGUUCCAGGGAUUGUCUAAUCUAACAGACUUAGCUGCUUAUGACAACAAAAUCCAGUAUCUGCCACAAAGAGUUUUUGAAGGCGCCAAAAACUUGAAGUCUAUGAGCUUUCAUCUCAACAACAUCCCUAGCGUGUCUAAUGUACUAUUUGAAGAUGUCGCGCCAAGCAUUCGAUUCAUGU